rnacentral:rRNA from 1 species
GAUGAACGCUGGCGGCGUGCCUAAUACAUGCAAGUCGAGCGAAGCGGGGACGGGUGAGUAACACGUGGAUAACCUCCUAUAAGACUGGGAUAACUACGGGAAACCGUAGCUAAACCGGAUAUCUAUAGUUGGAUUAGCGAUGAAUUAGCUAGUUGGUAAGGUAACGGCUUACCAAGGCAACGAUGCAUAGCCGACCUGUAAGGGUGAUCGUCCACGCUGGAACUGAGACACGGUCCAGACUCCUCCGUGAGGCAGCAGUAGGGAAUCUUCCGCAAUGGGCGAAAGCCUGACAGAGCAAUGCCGCUUGAGUAUUAAAGGUCUUCGGAUCGUAAAACUCUGUUAUUAGGGUAGCGGUACCUAAUCAGAAAGCCACGGCUAACUACGUGCCAGCAGCCGCGGUAAUUC